CAGACUGGAGUCACCUUUGUUCCACACCUAUGUCUGGGCCUGGAGCUCUGCUUUAUCCUCUCAUGAAUCCCUCCUUUCCCUCUGCACUGAAGCACAGCUGGGGAUCUGCUUUCACUGCAGUCAGCUGGGAUCAAGCCCUGGAUCCACAGGUGUGGCUUUGACCUGGAUGAGAUUUGGCAUCUGGAGCUGAUGGGGGCUGAGGGAUGUGGGACUAGAUCAGGGGUGCUGUGAAUGUUUGUGAAGAGAGAAGUUGUCCUCUCCCCUGUGACCUGAGCAAUGAGGAGGUUGUGGGGCAGCAACCAGCACUCUGGGAAGCAGCUGGGACUGGGAGCCGUGGAGUGAGGGGCACCAGCCCUUCUGAGUGGGUUGGCUGAGUGCUUGAGAGGGGAACCCAGCUGAUCUGCCUGCCAGGGAAGUUAAAUUAUGUACCCAAACACAUAUUUUUCUGAGAACCAGGCACGCAGGAGCACUUGCUGGAGAUGAAAGCUGAUGGAACACGGAAACUGAAACCACGAGGUUCAAGAUCAGACCAUGUCAGUAAUGAGCGAGUAUCCUGGGCGUUCCUCUGAUGGUGUUCCGAGCUCUGAUGUUUUUAUUUCCCCAAAACGGGUGCCAUGCUAUCAGAGGGAUGUCCUUUCUGGACUUCUGACGUUCUUUAACAGGCACAGACCGGCGUGGUCAGCGAAGUCGCAUCCUGGAGCGUCACGCUGUGCACCACAACCACGUGCUGCCACAGCAAGAAGCCACCAGCGGAGCUCUCCAUCCAGCCCAGCGGUGCCAGGCAGGUGCCAGCCCCUUGGCGGGCAGGC